UGCAAGACCUUCAGCUACAGGGAUUGGCACGGUCCAUUUGGGGAUGGGGGUGGGUGGGGAGACAGGGGGUGGAAGGAUCCAUUGGUGACUGCGAGGAGGCGAAGAAGGCACUGUUUACAGGGCACUUGCAUCGAAGACUCCUGGAUUGCACCACUAGGAGGCCUACGAAAGGAAUCACAGCCUUCACCGGUACUGCAGCUGCAUCCUUAUACUUAGCCAUCAACCUCUCCAAAGAAGUAAGAGCAUUAAGAAACUAAAAACAAAGCCAAUAACCUCAUAAUACAGGUAAAUAAUUUCUCCUCCUGA
rnacentral:lncRNA from 1 species